CAGUGUCUGCUCACAACAGUAAAACCCUAAGACAGAGAGGCUACGUCUAUGCUCAGUGUUCCGACCUAGGACUACCUGAAUGAUUAGCAGCCCAACAUU
ensembl:snoRNA LOC120096419 small nucleolar RNA SNORA17